ACAUUUGCACUUCAUCGAUUACGUUAAACGGUCAGGUAAAAAAUAAAUUUUCUACUUUAACGAGAACAGUUUCAUUAGACUAAAAAACGUGUCGGUAUUCGAUUCGAAUCAGCAGUAUUGUAAUAUCUAUGUCCGCUAAAUCCUUUGCUUGAAUCAACCGGUUUGUCUAUAUCGUUUUGGAAAAGUUGAGUUCGUAAAGAGAACAUAAAAAACUGAAAAAACUGCGUUAUCAUUGGUCUUUGACUCGUAAUAUCUCGUGAAUAUUAGUUGCAAAAUUAUAACAGGUAUAGCAUGGUAUUUCAAGAGUACGAAAAACUCGAGGCCCCUGUUUUAUUGUUCGUGGUAAAGAUAGUGUGAUAUGCGAAUGUGAGUUCGAAGGCAGUCGGAAUAUAUUUCUUCAGGCAUAGGUGCGACCUCCAUCGCGGUGGUUUUUACUUGGAAAACCAACGCUCACAAAGACGGAGAACGAGCCUCGAGAACAGAGACGCCCGAUCGAACUUACGCUGAUCACAGCGCACAGUUGGCCUCCCCGACUAACUCUCUCUUCAGUCCAAUCACCAACGCCCGAACCCAUUGCCAGACUAUGCACAGCUACCACAGAUAAUCCCACGGAUUAUAUGUAUAUACAUACGCUCAUAGAGAACAUCGAAAGCCUGCACGGAUCAGGGCCCUCUGUAUUGACAACGUCGAUUCGACCUUCCAAUCCUCGGCUCGUUCAAGACUCGAAGACGCAGCAGGAGCUUUGAUUAUCAGAACUUGUCACAUUAGCCGAAGGAGGAAAAAUACGGCGAUGGAACGACGAGACCUCUCAAUCAUCUCAUGCAUAGGAGCAUCCGUGAUACACGACUCCGGCAUAAACGCGAAGCGAAGUUUGUCUUACGAGUCAACGAAAACAGCUCGGCUAACAGACGCAAGGACCGUGGGGCAAGGACGUAAAUAGAGCAUGCUGCCUGUCAAGUGGAUUCGUCUUUAACUCCAGCUCUGGAUUUAUCAUUCGUAAUUCCACUCCGAAGCUCUUCAAUAGUUCGGAAACUUGACUACAUUCGGGAAACGCGUUAUUAUUUAAAUGGAGUAAGAGCAUUCGUUAUAUAAAUGGCUCGUAAUCAAGAGACGUGAAUAUGCAAAUGUGUGGGCUUUACACGAUCUGAAAUCGUCUCACGGACGAACCGCUUGAAUAAAAAUUCUGCAUGAAUAUUCUUAAAGUGCUGAGCACUGUUAAUGGACCAACUCAUGAAAAGAUGAAAAUCAUCCAAAAAAGAUAAUGAUUAAUAUAAAAGAAUCAAGUAAUUUCAAACUGUGGCAGUACGUUAUCAGGUUUUGUCAAAUGAAUUUCAUAAAAUGGAAAUGAUUGGAUGAUAAAUUCGGUUAAAUAUCCGAGAGCAAUCAAAUGAUUUUUUGACAAAAUGUGUAGACGACUGAAUAAAAUGAAAAUUGAUUGCACUAUUUAAUGAUUGUUAGACACGAAGACGCGAGUUACAAAUGUCAGGAUGAAUGAGGCAGGAGCAUGAGAAAAAAGGAAGAUGAGGAGAAAGAGUAACGGAGAUAUAUUUAUGCGAAUGGUAUACGCUAAUGGCCACAUGCUCGUAAUUGUACCAACGGUGAGGGCUCUUCAGCAUUUACCUUUUAUAUCUGGCAUCACGAGAGUUAAGAGCUUGUAGGUGACUCUUGCUUCCUCCAACAUUUUUUGCCAGUAAAUCAACGAGACAAAAACUCGUAGUAGUUCUCGUUCUCGAGGAUUUCUAUACGGAGAUCAUAUAAACAGCAGGGUUUGUUAUCGUCUCUGGUGCACUUUGCGAAUGUUCGACGUCAGCAAACUCACAAAAUCGAUCAUGGGCCCUAAAUGGAUGCGAACUCACGGAUCGUAAAAUAAUACAGAGGUGAGAAUGGAGUUAAUACCUUACAGUGCUUUAUACUGCAGUACGAGCUAAUAUAAGAGACGUAUGAAGCCCCGUGAUAAAUGGGCAUACUGCUCUUAACAAAUCGGGCUUUCAUUUUCAAUGUCCAACAUGGAAUUCUGCUCCUUUCGUUACUUUAACGGAGGCUCAAUCCAAAGGAGGUUUAAGUGUUUAUCAUUAAUUUGAAUUUGGCUGUCAACGCAACAGUCUUACGGUAGAGGAAUGGAAGUUUGUCAACGAUAUUUAUGCG
rnacentral:lncRNA from 1 species